rnacentral:snoRNA from 1 species
AUAAAAGCAGGGUCCUGUUGUCCAUGUCAACAGAUCUCUCGUAAACUUAGGGAACUUAUUUACAUUGUUAUUGGGUGAACCUCUGUUUUGCAUCGUUCAUGACACAAGGUUCAGUAAAUGAUGUUACAUUA